GGCGUUGAAACAACAGGCUGUUUCAAGUCGCAGUUUGUUGCGGAGCUGGAUCGAGGGUUUGACAUUUCCUCAACUUGAAUAGGCAGUAAUGCCGAACGAAAA
rnacentral:sRNA from 1 species